AUUGAACGCUGGCGGCAUGCCUUACACAUGCAAGUCGAACGGCAGCACGGGAGCAAUCCUGGUGGCGAGUGGCGAACGGGUGAGUAAUAUAUCGGAACGUGCCCAGUAGUGGGGGAUAGCCCGGCGAAAGCCGGAUUAAUACCGCAUACGACCUAAGGGUGAAAGCGGGGGACCGUAAGGCCUCGCGCUAUUGGAGCGGCCGAUAUCAGAUUAGGUAGUUGGUAGGGUAAAAGCCUACCAAGCCAUCGAUCUGUAGCUGGUCUGAGAGGACGACCAGCAAAACUGGGACGGAGCCACGGCCAAGACUCCUACGGGAGGCAGCAGUGGGGAAUUUUGGACAAUGGGCGAAAGCCUGAUCCAGCCAUGCCGCGUGCAGGAAGAAGGCCUUCGGGUUGUAAACUGCUUUUGUCGGGGAAGAAACGCUCUGGGCUAAUACCCUGGGGUAAUGACGGUACCCGAAGAAUAAGCACCGGCUAACUACGUGCCAGCAGCCGCCGUAA
rnacentral:rRNA from 1 species